rnacentral:misc_RNA from 1 species
AACGCACAUUGCGCCCCUUGGUAUUCCGGGGGGCAUGCCUGUUCGAGCGUCAUUACAACCCUCAAGCUCUGCUUGGUAUUGGGCCUCACCCGGAAGGGCGUGCCCUAAAAUCAGUGGCGGUGCCAUCUGGCUCUAAGCAUAGUAAAUCUCUCGCUAUAGGGUCCUAUGGUUACCUGCCAACAACCCCCAAUUCUUUCAGGUUGACCUCGGAUCAGGUAGGGAUACCCGCUGAACUUAA